rnacentral:rRNA from 1 species
UACAGAGGGUGCGAGCGUUAAUCGGAAUUACUGGGCGUAAAGCGUGCGUAGACGGUUAUUUAAGUCUGAUGUGAAAGCCCCGGGCUCAACCUGGGAAUGGCAUUGGAAACUGGUCAGCUGGAGUGUGGCAGAGGGGGGUGGAAUUCCGCGUGUAGCAGUGAAAUGCGUAGAGAUGCGGAGGAACACCGAUGGCGAAGGCAGCCCCCUGGGCCAACACUGACGCUCAGGCACGAAAGCGUGGGGAGCAAACAGG